GAUGAACGCUGGCGGCGUGCCUAAUACAUGCAAGUCGAGCGAAGCGGGGACGGGUGAGUAACACGUGGAUAACCUCCUAUAAGACUGGGAUAAUUUCGGGACACAGUAGCUAAACCGGAUACUUAUCGAUGGAUCCUCGCUGUAUUAGCUAGUUGGUAAGCUAACGGUUUACCAAGGCAACGAGGCCUAGCCGGCCUGAUAGGGUGAUCGGCCACACUGGGACUGAGACACGGUCCAGACUCCUACGGGAGGCAGCAGUAGGGAAUCUUCCGCAAGGGGCGAAAGCCUGACGGAGCCACGCCGCGUGAGUGAAGAAGGUGUUCGGAUCGUAAAGCACUUUUAGUAGGGAGGCGGUACCUAAUCAGGAAGCCACGGCUAACUACGUGCCAGCAGCCGCGGUAAUAC
rnacentral:rRNA from 1 species